GGGCCCUUAGCUCAGUUGGUUAGAGCGCGGUCCUGAUAAGACCGAGGUCUGUGGUUCGAUCCCACAAGGGCCCA
rnacentral:tRNA from 1 species